GGGUAUAACUCAGCGGGAGAGCGCUUGAAUGGCAUUCAAGAGGUCAUGGGUUCGAAUCCCACUAUCUCC
rnacentral:tRNA from 1 species